GUAAAUUCUACUGGAGUGGGCAGAAAGAGGAAGGAGUAAUGGGUCUGAGCCAUCCCUUGAGGGAACCUGAUUUAACAUCUCUUGAAUACAGAGCCCUUAGGUGGGCAAAGGAUGAGAAAGUCACACAGGCAGCUCUCUGAUUUUUUGAAGUGCCACGUGAAAAUGAAACUUGCAAAAAGGAGAACAGUACUUUGGACCUUUGGAGGAAGCUUGGGAAGUAGCAGAGAACUUAAAUUCCACUCUUCUGUCUGGAUGAAGGAAAAAAAACUAAACAAAAGUCAUGAAAGCAGAAGAAAAAAUUAUAUUACAAUGACCUACGGCCACUGUCUUUCCUUUUCCCCAAAGGCUUCUACCAUCAGUCACAGACUAGCAAAGGGCUACACGUUAAUCUAAGCCCAGUGAAAUUAGACAAGGCUUCAAGAAAAUAAAGUGGAGAGCAUGGGUAAGAACUUUCA
rnacentral:lncRNA from 1 species